rnacentral:rRNA from 1 species
ACUUUUAGAUUAAGUAAAAAAUAUUAGUUUGUUAGUUAAAUGUUAAAUUUAAUGUUUAUAUUAGAAACAAAAGGUAAAAUUGGGUUGUUUCUUUGUAUAGAAAUAUAAAUUAUAAUUGAAGCUAAAAAAAUUUAGUAAUAAACUAGGAUUAGAUACCCUAUUAUUCUAAAUUUUAAAGUUUAAGGCUAAAUUAGUAGUAGUUAAUUACUUAAAAUUUAAAAAAUUUGGCGGUGAUUUAAUCUUUUCAGAGGAAUUUGUUUUUUAAUCGAUAAACCACGUAAAAUCUUACUUGUCUUUGUUUUCAGUUUGUAUACCAUCAUUAUCAGAUAAUUCUUAAAGGAGAAAUUAUUAAAUUUAAUUGUUUAUAGAAAUUAGAUCAUGGUGCAGCUUAUAGAUAAGGUAAAAUGAGUUACAAUAAAUUAUUUUAUAAUGGAAUAGUACGAUAAAUUUGCUAUGAAGGAGGAUUUGAUUGUAUUGGAAGUUUAAUAAGUUUGCAGGAUAUGAGCUCUAAAUCAUGUACAUAUCGCCCGUCGCUUUCAUUUAUAAGUGAAAUAAGUCGUAACAUA